GUCCUAAGGAAACAAAGAUUGCUCGCGAAUCCUUCGAUGAAAUGGGCAAUGAUGUUCCCACAACCUGAGCAACCAGGGGAUGCAUUCCAUCAGAUACUAAACGGGCUGGCACGCAAACUGCCCCAUGAUCAAAGUGUUUACAUGAAGGCUGAUGAAAAGGUUUUGAACUGGACAGCAGGUCCAGUGGGAGACCUGAAACCUUGGUAAUGGAAGUGCUACCAUUCUUCUUCUCCCUUCCGGAAUGCAGUUGAAUUUUGUACUGGUAUUGGCAUUGAGCAGAUCCUUUCGCAACGCGAAUAU
rnacentral:lncRNA from 1 species